rnacentral:rRNA from 1 species
UUCGAUCCGUAAACCCCUGUCAUUCGUGAACAAUGCUUACCAUUGAAUAUUUGGUGAGUUGAUAGUAGCGGAAGAGGAAGGGACGGCUAACUCUGUGCCAGCAGCCGCGGUAAUACAGAGGUCCCGAGCGUUGUUCGGAUUCACUGGGCGUAAAGGGUGCGUAGGUGGCUGGGAAAGUUUGAUGUGAAAGCUCAGGGCUUAACCCUGAAAUGGCAUUGAAUACUAUCUGGCUGGAGGUUUGAAGGGGGGACUGGAAUUCUCGGUGUAGCAGUGAAAUGCGUAGAUAUCGAGAGGAACACCAGUGGCGAAGGCGAGUCCCUGGACAACACCUGACACUGAGGCACGAAAGCCGGGGGAGCAAACAGGAUUAGAUACCCUGGUAGUCCCGGCCCUAAACGGUGCGCGUUUGCUGUAGGAGGAAUCGACCCCUUCUGUGGCGAAGCUAACGCGAUAAACGCGCCGCCUGGGGAGUACGGUCGCAAGAUUAAAACUCAAAGAAAUUGACGGGGGCCUGCACAAGCGGUGGAGUAUGUGGCUUAAUUCGAUGCAACGCGAAGAACCUUACCUGGCCUUGACAUGCAUGUGGUAGAACCAUGAAAGUGGGACGACCCCGCAAGGGGAGCAUGCACAGGUGCUGCAUGGCUGUCGUCAGCUCGUGUCGUGAGAUGUUGGGUUAAGUCCCGCAACGAGCGCAACC